GAAUCAUCGAGAGCGGUGUAGGGACGGGCCCUGUGAUACCGCGGCAACCAGUUCGAUACGUCGAACCAGGUGCCAAUGCCCGAGCGAUGGCGGCGGGAGGGACGAUGU
rnacentral:ncRNA from 22 species